UAAAACAAUACACCACUUUCUUCCUUUCUUUCUCUGUCUGACUGUCUUCCUCCUCCUCUUCUUCUUGUUCUUCACUUACUUUAUGAAAUUUAUUAGUUUGGGCUUCCUACUCUCUCAUCACCAUUAUUAACUCUUAAUUAUUAAUCUUGAUUAAUUAAUUCAAACCUAAAGUUUUGUCCUUUUUUAUAUUCUCUAUACUUGCAAAUUGAGAUUUGCCAGGGAUAAUCUCCACUUCAUCAAAGAUCUCUUCAAAUCAUCAAACCCUAACCACCAAAUCUUCUUCACUUUUCUACAUCCAUUGAACCAAAUCUUUAAUCUUCAUCAUAGAAUAAUUAUCUAUAUUAUUAUUCUCCAUGUUUCCAUAUCAAAGUUGUGAGUUAUCUUUCCAAUCUUCCAAUAAUUUGGAAAAUAAUAAUACUAAUACAAGCAAUAAUUAUUAUUUUCAGCAUAAAGUUGACCAACAUGCUCCAACUGCUCCUCCUACUACUGCUACUACUACAACUCACCUUGUUCAUGAGCCUCACAAUGCCCUUAAUUCAAAUCUUAAAACCCCAAAACCACGAAAACCGCGGUCAAAAAAUUCUACCGUUGGUAAAGAAGGUGAGGUUAGUGGUAAUGAUAUUGCUAAGAAGAAGGAUAUUCAUCGAGAAGUUGAACGCCAAAGAAGGCAAGAAAUGUCCACUCUUCACUCUUCCCUCCGUUCUCUCCUUCCCAUGGAGUAUAUUAGGGGGAAAAGAUCGGUAUCGGAUCACGUAACAGAGGCUACAAGGUACAUUAAAGACUUGGAGAACAAUGUUAAGGAGCUAGGAGAUAAAAGAGACAAGCUCAAAGAAUCAUUAUCUUCUUUAGAAAACCAAGUAAUUACUAAAGAUAUAGGAUGCUCAUCAUCAAGUAGUAUGACUUCUACUACUUCAAGAAGUAGUAAUAGUAAAACAGGUGAUUAUAAUGUAAGCAUUCAAAAAUUUUCAAGAACACUUCAGAUUGAGAUUGCUGCUGGUGUUGAGGAAGAAGGUCCAUACCCUCUUUCAAGAGCACUCAAGGUGUUAGAUAAAGAAGGUCUUGAUGUUGUUAGUUGUGUUUCCUCUAAAGUUAAUCAGAGAUGGAUUUAUGUGAUCUAUUGUGAGGUUACUGAUGCGACGUCGGUUGACUCAAGUCACUUGCAAGACAAAUUGAUGAGUGUAAUUUCUUCAUGCAUGUGAUUAAUAAAGAUUGACUGGCCUUUCAUAUGCAGGAAAUCAAGGAUACAUCAAGGGGACCAUAGCAGCAAUUAUGUAAAGGCUAUCAAUCUGCUAAAAACAGCUAUACUCCUACCAUAAAUUGCAUGCAUGCAUGAUCAAAGUUGGUUGGUGUGAGUGGUAUGCAUGAUAUGGCUAAUCUUCCUACUAAGCCUGCCUAUAAUAAGUUCACACAUGAUCAAGAAGGAUCUUCUUUAUCAUAACGCAUCACAGCAGAUUUGAAAAUUAUUUAUAGAUCGGAUAGAAGAACAUAUCUUUCAUUUUAUGAGUUAUUUGGUAGGCGAAAUAAUUGUUUUUAGAGGCAUUUGGAUAUUGAUAAUGAUAGUAAUAGUUAUUUCAUCGUCCGAUAUCAUUUAGCAAGAUAACGUUGAAUCUUUUUUCACGUUCAAUAAAUGUAAGGUGAGAAUUACAGAUUCAUUUGUGGUGCUCAUAUAUUUGUAAUAAACGAUCAUAUCAGGUUGGAUCUUUCAGGAAUCAUCAUAUCCUUGUAAAUCAUUUCAGAGUGGUUUAAUCAUCACAUUCAAAUCAUAUAUAUAGCCAGCCAUGUUGUGGUCAUGUCUCGUUGCUUUUUCGACAAAGGGACAAAUUCUUAA